GAGCGACUCCCCAGUCUGCCCGCCCUUUCAGCUCCGCUCCAGAUUUAUGAGGUUGCAGUGUUUCCCACAAAUCCGAUUUAACUCGGAGGAUAUCAGGCGAAGGAAUGUUCCUUAUAUUUAGGCUCUUAAGCAGAAAGCAGACCUCUAUUUGGGGAGCCGUCUUUGGAUUACGGUCUCCUCACAGCCACGAAUAAAGGUGCUAAACUUGGGUGCAGACAAUGAUGCUGCAGAAUCCGGGCAAGGCUGGGAUCAGUAGGAGGUGACGUCUCUAACUCAGUGAGCGCCACAAACACUGUGUUCGAUACUUUUCUUCUAUUGUUUGAACCCAGUCUGGAGACAUUGCUUUGCUGACUAUUGACAAAACAGCCCUGAAUCCUGAGAUCAAAGGUGUUGCUUCAACUCAAAAAACACCAUAUCCAUCCUCCAACUGAUCAAAGAGGGGACCUGUCUAUGUGAUACAAACCCAGAUCCAAAUGAGGAAAAGUGGCAAGAAAAGGAGGUUCAGUCAGUCCCCAGUUUGUCUAUUUCUGUAAAACAAAGGGAAUCCAUUGGAAACAUGAGGCUAUAGCUCUGGCUGACUUUGAGUAAGACCAAAUUGAAGUCUUAAGGUCAGAGGCUUCCAGGCUCUGAAAAAAGGGAACUUAAUCCUGUUGGUUUGUACGGUGUCCUUGGCCUUGUCAUUCCUCUCUGAGCCCAAGCAGCUGCAGGUGACAGAUUGAUUUGUAGAUUGCUUUGAAGAUCUUUUUUUGGGGGGGAGUGAGGGGGUAGUUGGGGUGGAGAAGAGACCAAAAACCCAAGCACACAGAUCAUAUAGAAACAGAUGCUACUCAUGUGGUCAGCAGGGAGAUAUCAAGUGGAUGAAGAAUCUUAGGAGGUGAAGACUGGUCUGAGAUUUCAUCUGGUUUGUCCAACUAUAAAAUGGGAACAAUGAACCUUAUUCUCUGACCUACUUGAUUGGAAAUCAGCCUUCCAUAAACAUGCACAGGGCAGCUUAUUCUAGGUUUAUCAGAGAGGGAUUGCGAUAGAGGAGGUGUAGGAGUUUCUAUCUCUUCCAUUCAGUGAACUCCCAUUCCCCAAGGUAGCAAUGACAACUGUACUUUCUAAUUCUCUCAGAUUUGUGCCAUUCAUCCAAGAAGCUCAAAUGUAAUAAUUAAUAACUGUUUAUAUACUAUUUUAAGGAGUAUACUUUAUAUACAUUAUCAUUUUUGAUGCUUCAAUGACCUCCAAAAAUAAAACCCGAAGGUCUCCCAAAUGGCAAUAGAAAGAUACAAGAUGGAUGUAAGUAGGCUGCCCAGUCCAUGACCAGUGGUUAUUUGUACUUGGAGAAAUAGUGUAAAUGACUUAAGAAGUAGGGAUGGGCUAGCUAGGUGGCUCAGUGGAUAGAUAGCCAGGCCUGGAAAUGGGAGGUUCUGGGCUCAAAUGUGGCUUCAGAUACUUCCUAGCUGUGUGACCCUGGGCAAGUCCCUUAACCCCCAUUGCCUAGUCCUUACUACUCUUCUGCCUUGGAACAAAUACUUAGUAUUGAUUCUAAGACAAAAAGUAAAGGUUAAAAAAAAGAAGUAGGGAAAGAUCUGAGCUGGUCAUAUAGCAAGAAAGGAUAGGAGAUAAGCCCAAGUUCUUCUCUGUUACUAAUAAAAUUAAAAAAAAAAAAGACCUAGAAGUUGGGCUGUAGCAUACUGGAUAGAUCCUCUCAUGGUACAUUAAUAGAAAAAUGAUUACCCAGGAAGAGAGGACAAGUCACAAUCUUGAAAGGUAGGUAAUGCAAGCAUUGUUUUAUAGAUGAAGAAACUGAGGCUUCACAAUGUGGGGUAACUUGCCUAAGCCUCCCAGUUAGUAAAUGGCAGAGCUAAGAUCUGAUUCUAGGUGUUCCCAUUCCAAGUCAUAGGCUCAUCUAUUUAUUGCUGGAAGGGAACUUAGAGAUCAUUUUACAGAUAAGGAAACUGAGGAUAAGAAAGGUUAAGUAACUUGCCCAAAUUCAUUAGAUAGGAAUUAUCAGAGCUGGGAUUUGAACUCGGGUCCUCUGUCUCCAAUUGCAAUGAUCAUUAUACUAUCUUGAACUGACUCUCACAGAGUGCAUUUUUCUACAAAGAGUUUGUAGGUAGUUAAGAGGAGGGAAUUCUCCCUGCCCUCUCUCAGCUAAAAUGGCAUCUCUCCCUCCUCAUAUGUUCCUUUAAGUUACAGAGGUCUUAUCGAACUGUUUUGGUGGAGGGAGUUUCUCUGCUGGGUGGUUCCUGUACUGAUAUGAUCCUAAGACUUGACAAAAAUUAAAGUACAAACAUUUUGUAUCUC